UACAGAGGUGGCAAGCGUUGUUCGGAAUUACUGGGCGUAAAGGGCGCGUAGGCGGCCUACUAAGUCAGACGUGAAAUCCCCCGGCUUAACCUGGGAACUGCGUCUGAUACUGGAAGGCUUGAGUAUGGGAGAGGGAUGUAGAAUUCCAGGUGUAGCGGUGAAAUGGGUAGAUAUCAGGAGGAACACCGGUGGCGAAGGCGGGUCUCUGGGCCGAUACUGACGCUGAGGAGCGAAAGCGUGGGGAGCGAACAGG
rnacentral:rRNA from 1 species